rnacentral:rRNA from 1 species
AUCUUCUUACCUGAUGGUUCUAGAUUCUAUACGUUUUGUCUGGCUGCAAUCUGCUGGGCUAUGUGGAAUUGUCGUAAUCGAGCCACAUUCGAAUGCAAAAAACUGAGAACCCCUUUUGAUGUGGUUUUCUCUGCGUGUGGUUAUAUGAACUAUUGGGCAGGCCUGAUGGAGGGAACUGAUCGCGAGGCAAUGGAGCGCCGCGCCAAGAUGCUCAAGACCAACGCAGCGGCCAUGAUGAGGAUCUGUGCGGCCCCAGCUGGAACGGCGAUCGACUGA